AUGCGCACAGCGACCAGGAAAUGAAACUCUCCGGCGCAUCACAGGGGGGUAGGAUGAUGUGGAUGUGACUAGUUAUAUAAAAAAUAUAGGGCGCACUUGGACUAAACAGACUGGAGGAUGUAGUCAUUUUCAGGCUAAUGCGCUUCUUGCCUGCGUAUGGAGAUGGAGCUCCUGCAUGACCUCGUGAACUUCUCUUCCGCAUGACCUCGAAAAUUACCUCUGACGGCUCCCUGAACACCCCUCCACAUCCCCGGACUCAUUUGCACAAGCUAUUACCCAAGCAGGAAGUGACAUCAACGGUCCAAACUAAAAAUAUGUCGCAGGACGGGCUGUCUAGGAUGUCCAGGACCGGUGUUUGUAAAGGAGGAUGCCUCGCACCGGCUCCAGAAAGUGAUGCUCACUGAAGGAUGCAGGAGAGAGUCACACAGGCGAGACAUACAGACGCACUGGAGGCUGAACUCUCUAUCACGGAUGUCUGUGUAACGUGGUGCUGUGUGCUAUCCACUUAUGGUUGAGCUCCUGGCUAUCUUCACCCACCAUGGUUCCUUCAUGAUGGCCCCCUAAUCUCUGCCAGUGUGGUUCCAUGUUGGAUCAUUGCAACUACAGAAGGGCUUGGCAUCCAAACAUCACUGAUGAAAGCAAGUGCAUAAGAUGGAUUCCAAGUAUGCAUUGCGAGGCUGCUGUGUAAUCAAGCCUGUGAACUCGACAUCUGAAGAAAGGAUUCUGUUUCUGAUCACAUCCCCACUGAAGUCCAUCCAUUUGCUGAACAUGGAUGUGUUGACACACACGUUUCCUCCACUUGGUGCUGCUAUGUGUUGCUGAAUUCCCUGAGUGAAGGCAUUACCAUCUCAUUUGGAUAAGGGUGAGAUUACCUCAUGCAACUGAGCUGUUUCAUCACAGGAAUGCAGGGGGAGCUGAACCGACGAUGCUGACUGUUUAUACCGCCAGCUGAAGACUCCUCAGGAAGGCUAAAAGCACACCUUACACACUGCUGAAGAUCAGUCUGCACAGUGAGGCCGUCAAGCCAUUAGUGAGCCCCAGCUCUGAUAAUGAAGCCGCAGAGGUGGUCUGAGCCAGUGAGGCGCUGGAGCUCGAGCACAGGAGGAAGGUAGAUUAGGAUAAUUACCUGGCCUAUGGGGGUACAAUGAGAGAGAUGUUUCACUUCCUGCAGGCCUAGAUUGGCAAUGUAAUCAUUUGGGUCUUGGAGGACGGAGAAACAGGAUAAUCUGUUGCAAUCAUUUUUCCUGAUCAAAACGUGAAAUGAUCCACAUUUGAUUUUGUUGUGCUGACGGUGAUUGCUUGUCCUCUGUUUUUGCCGUCUGCAUCUCUUGCAUAUACUGUGAGUAAGUGGUAGGUAUCCUCCCUCAUGGAGGCUUUGAAGAGCCUAUGAGGUCAUGUUUUAAAUUAUGGUCUGCACCCACACCAGGCUUUCUUUCCCCACUCCUGUAAAUCCAUUUUCCACACAAUGCAUUUCAAAUCAAAGCGGCGUCACCAUAACAUGCCUUAGGAAACAUUAAGCCAUAGUGCGUUACUUUCAUGUACGAUAGCAUAGCCCCUGUAUGCUUUGAUGUGCUCACUUUUUUAAUGCUUUAUUAAUAAUAACACACUGACUCCUUCUCACACCACAUCAGCUUCUGGUGCUCUUUUCUCUCCUCCUGAACUACAUCCUUCACUCCUUCCAUGCCUCGGUCCCUUCAUCCCUCCCCAGCCCCUGAGCCCCGUCUUGGGAUUGGCCCGUUUGUGUAUGGGAGGAGGAUUAGAGGGACUGACAUGGGCCCCGAGAUGAAGAGAGUGACAAAGACCUAUCAGAGGGCAGAGUGUGCAAAGCGCUGCAUCACCAUUGGCUGCUGUGGAAAUCAGACACGUCUUCAUUUCUUCCAGCCAUCCUCUCAAAGUACGAGCUUUUAUUUCCAUGCCUGGGGAGGGAAGGAAUGGGGGGGUGCAUUUAAGUGUGUGUGUGUACAUGUGUGUUUGCUUGCAUGUUGUGAGAAGUAAACAUCUUAGAGAUACAGAGGGAUGAGCACAUAGACACUGAUAGCACUCACCUCCUCCGAAUCUGGCCAAAAUACAAAUGCUGUAGCAGCCUGCAGAAUACGAGUGUUGGUUUAGAUGAAUAUGUUCCCUUUGAAUGGGAUGCCUGCAUCAUAGGCAUGUAAAUGCUACUUACAUACUGAGUUAUCUGAUUGCUCUUUUAUUUUAUUCUAGUUAUUUUUUCCAUCAGAAGUGUGCUGAAAUGCACAAUGACUUUUCAGAUGGAAAUUUACUGAAUAACUUACUCACCCCCUACAUUUGCAUGUGUGUGUACAUGUGUGUGUACAUGUGUGGCGACGUGCUGAUGAAGCGUUAUGCUUUUGUACUUUUUUUCCUUUUUGAUGUUUAACAGGUUUUGUUAUGAAGAAUUGCUGAGUCUCCAUUUUUGCCAUUUUAAUCAUUUAUGUUCAUGACUUGUUGACCAAAAUCUUCAAACAAAAUUUGUGCUUAAACACCAUAUAAAAUAAAUAUCUUGAUAAAAGUUUAAUACUUAAUUUGGUUUCUGUCUAUAUUCAGUCUUUGCCAUUGCAUUUUUUAUGGCAUGCAUUCAUUUCUUCUAUGCGCAGCCAUACCAAUAUGUAGUACUCUCACGCUGAUUAUUCAGUGUUAUGCAAUGUUUUAGAUGCAGAUUUGACAACAUUCUGCAGAAGAAAGUUUUCAUAUGAAGAAUGUGCUUGUAGAGCUUGUUGUGCACCAGACUGUUGUCAGUAUCUGCCUUCUUGUUAGGACGCCACCAGCUGACUCUGGUUGUCUGCACAUUGAUAUGACUGGGAGCAGUAGGGCUCGGCCCCAGCCGACUCCACUCUCCUCAUGGCCCAUAAUAGAUCUGCGUGGUUUACAGGCCCACCAGGGGCACCUGGCUCCCCUCCCUGCCAUCUCAGGCUGGAUCGAUAGCGAGGCCAUCCCAGCCCAGAGACCGGGGUCAGCUUCAAAGGCCUCCUGCCCACUUCCUGCCACCUGGUGUUCUAUUUUGGACAAAGGAGAACAUUUCGUUUACAUUGGCUCCACCCUCCUUUGCCCUUCGAUGAACAGGUUAAGGACAUGGAGUCGGUACGGCUCCUCCCUAUGAUCUCCUUCAGCCUCCUUUUCUCACACUGAGGGAAAAAGGUUGACACAUAAGUCAACUGAAACCUCAGAGAAUCAUCCACCCCUUUUGUGAGUAUCUGCAUAUGAUUUUAUGAUGACAUUAGAAUGUUAGAAGCUGUUUGGUAUUUUUCCAUUUGUUACAACCCACAUUUCGGGGCCUGGCAAGUAUCAAAUGGAGUCAAUACAUGGUAAGAGGAAAACAUUUACUGUCUUUCCUGCAUCUUCACAGAUUGUAUGUAUCAUAUUAAAUACAUAGUCUGCAUAAAAAAAUCUUGCAUAAACCGGUUUAUAAGUACGAAAUUAAGUGAACUUUUUGGCUCUGACUUAAGACAUGUUUCAUCAUUAACAGACCUCUCUCUCUUUCCCCAUUGGUCAAGUAACAAAUGGCAGGGCUAUUGAACACACAUUUUAUGGCCAUGAGGGCUGUCGUUCAAUUAGCUCCAAGAAUACAUAUUAAUCAUUUGAGAUUUUUGAAUCUGUUUAUUAAGCCCAGCCAUUUUUUACCCUCCAAUACAUUAGCAGAUCUCAGUAUGUCCACUACUCUUGUGAACAGGGAUGAGAAGGAGAUAGAGGGAGAGGAAAUAAAGGUCUGAUGAGUUUGGCAAAGAGAGGAUGGAGGCUGAGACAGAUGGCAUGAAGUCUGCAGCACUCUGGCGUGGCUCGCCUGGUGCUAAAAUCCUCCUCUCUCACAUUCCAACAAAUCCUACCAGGAGGCUGGGGAGUCUGUCACACCACUCCAAGGAUCCACACGGCUCCCUUCAGCCCCCCACCACCACCACCACCCCACACCCUCCUUCCUCCAUCUCCUCUGUGGACCCCCCCCCCCCCAGCUGAGUCUUUGACCACUCUGUAUUGCAUUCCUUCUAUUUUACCCUCACAUAUGUAUACAUUUGCAGAAAUUCAUAGAUUGGUAGAGAUGGGUCACUUGGACCUUUACAGGCCUGUAAGAUAAGAAACACCAGGGGGUACAGAUAUGGGCUGAAGCUGUCUCGCUGCUCUUAUGAAAAAAGAACCAGGGGGGCUUAAUUGAGUGAGGUGGCCUUUACUGUGACUCAAGUGUAAAAAAUCUUAUUCAGUAAACACUGGGCCAAAUCAUGAGGGGAAGACUAUACAAUCCAUUUAUAUCAGAGGGAGAAGACAUAAGAAGCUUUUGAUUAGUUUCACCACAGCCCACAUCAGGCCAUGGUCUUGAACAGAAACACAGUAGCCCAAUCUCAAUCCUAACAUACACUACUCAGCCUCAUAUUUCCAGGCUCCCCAUGGACCUUACAAUCCAAAGUGGACAGUAACUGCACAGUGAUUACAAAAGACCAACAACUGGAUCACGGGCCCCACAUGGCAUAUUUAUGCCCUGUUCUGGAAAUGGCAUGCUAUUGAAUGUCUUUUUAAUUUUGCAGCUAUCUCAAAGCACUACAUCUAAUAAGAACAAUCUAAUUUAUUUUAUACUGUGCUUUGUCUCCAUGUUUCUCUCUCAUUGUCUUUCUUCCAGCCUUCUGUUUGUUCUAAUGAAUGACUUCUGAGAUGAAGUGCUGCUGUGAGGAGGUCACAAAGGGCUUCGGCAUCACAUUACUGUUAAUGAUAAUAAAAAGAACAAUCUGUGCUAAACCUC